rnacentral:rRNA from 2 species
AAAGAUUAAGCCAUGCAUGUCUAAGUAUAAGCAAUCUAUACAGUGAAACUGCGAAUGGCUCAUUAAAUCAGUUAUCGUUUAUUUGAUAGUACCUUACUACUUGGAUAACCGUGGUAAUUCUAGAGCUAAUACAUGCUAAAAACCCCGACCUCUGGAAGGGGUGUAUUUAUUAGAUAAAAAACCAAUGCCUUCGGGCUCCUUGGUGAUUCAUGAUAACUUUACGAAUCGCAUGGCCUUGUGCCGGCGAUGGUUCAUUCAAAUUUCUGCCCUAUCAACUUUCGAUGGUAGGAUAGUGGCCUACCAUGGUUU